CAGGAAGCAAGCCAUGUGCAUCAAUUAUCAGGAACGCUUUAAUCCAACUGGGACCCCAAACAAACACCCCGUUUUAAUCCCGGGUGAAGUGAUACAAACAAUUUACAAAGCCUCACGACCCGGCAGCAACCCGAGUAAGUAGACCGUGAUCUUGCAGACAAUAAAAUGCAAGCCCGUGCUCAUACAUUGUAGGGGAUUGAAUGCGCCUUAAACAAAAGGAUGCUAUCUCCAAAAUAGCACGCUCACUGCCUUUGCUGGGCACUCAGCACGGUACCUGGCCUGUAGGUUGUCAGAUUCCACUGGGCUUAGAAUAAAAUCCAAACUCUUUACCGUUGCCUCCUAGGUCUUACGUGAUCUGGCGAAACUCAUCUGCCUCCUAAGCUCCAACGCCACUGCUUUUCUUUCCCUGUCUCCAGCACUCAGCUCCUUCGGGUCUAUGGCAAUUGUACUUGCUGUUCCUCCUGCCUGGAUUAGUCCUACAGCUUGCCCUGACUGCAUCCUUCUCAUCAUUCAGAUCUCAACGCAAGCAUCACCUCCUUCCUCUGAGGCCUUGGCCUUCAACAUCCCAUUCCCUACCCCACAUCAUUCCAGACUGGAAGCUCUAGAGCUGGCAUUAGAACACUGUCUGGCCCACAAGCCUUCAAUACUUCAACAAAUGCUUGUUGAAUCCAAAAACGCUGAUUACCCUUCAAUCUGCCAGCUCACCCCACUCCCUCUCAAAAUACCUAGGAGAAUUAAUUUACAAAGAAAACAUAAGCAAGCGACAGCGUAACACAUCGACUCAAAACAAAGCCGGUAAUCCGGGGCUGAACUGGUCAACGGCAUUUAAAGAAGGCCCCAAGAAAACCCUUUCCUGAUCGUGCACACACUUUUCAAGAGGCGAAACCAGGGGGACAGGGCGGUCGGCGGCGCAGCGCUGCCUACCUUGAACUCCGCGGAAAGUUGGGGCGUGUAUUCGCGAGUCCAGAGCGCGCGCACCAGCGCCGCCAGCUGCUCGGUGACCUCGGCGCGGCCCGGAGCCGCCCGGUAGCGCCCCAGCGCCAGGAACUCGGCCAGCAGGUCGGUGUUGCUGAGACACUGCACCACCGCGUUCAUGAAACAGGUGUUGCCGUGGUUCUUCAAGCCCUGAGCGCCCGGCGGCCGCGCCCCAUCGCCGGCGGGGAGCUGGAGCUGGGGCUGGGGUCCGGGCGGGCGUUCCUCCCCGGGGCUCCCGGGGGCCGCUGGAACUGGGCCCGGGGCGCAGGCGAAGCCCCCCUCACCGUCGCCAUCACAGUGUCCCGGCUGGGGCCGGGGCGGUGAGUCCCCGGGGCGUGAGCGGCUGCCCAGCGCCAGCAGGAAGCGGCUGAACAGGCGGCGCAGGGAGCGGCGGCGGCGGGGCCGGGGCGCGAGCGGUCCCCCUCCUGCCGCGUCCCCGGGGCCCAGGUCCAUGGCUGCCGCCGGCGCAGCUCCAGGCGCGGAGCCCCCGGGCGCGAGGCGGACGAGCGGCCAGCAGGCCCUACAGCUUCUCUAAGGCUCCUGGUGCCGGCUACCUGCGGGCCAGGUGUGCGGGGACGGGGCGGAGGCGGAGCCAAGGGCGGGGCAGCCCCGCCCCGCGCGGGAAUCCGGCGGCACGACCAGCCCCCUCCAGGGCAGCGCCGGGCCACCCCUACCCCUGCCUGGUGCCGCCCCCGCUGCGCUGACUGGGAGUCUUCGUGGUCGGAUUCCCCACCCUUCCUUACCUCGUAAACCGACAGACCUGGGUUUCGCCGCUGCUCCUGUUCCUCGAGCAGCCUUCAAGCAGUGGAAAUUACGGAGAAAUGAACAUUCUGAAAGCGCCUAGUAAAUGGUGGGGAAGUGAAGACACUGGAAGGUGAUAUGGCCUUUCCAAAGUGGCAUGGCUGAUUGAUGACAGACCACCAUUGGAAACAAGGUGGUUUGACUCCAGAGCCCGCACCCUCCACCACAACG
rnacentral:lncRNA from 1 species